rnacentral:rRNA from 1 species
AGAGUUUGAUCAUGGCUCAGAUUGAACGCUGGCGGCAGGCCUAACACAUGCAAGUCGAACGGUAACAGGAAGCAGCUUGCUGCUUCGCUGACGAGUGGCGGACGGGUGAGUAAUGUCUGGGAAGCUGCCUGAUGGAGGGGGAUAACUACUGGAAACGGUAGCUAAUACCGCAUAAUGUCGCAAGACCAAAGAGGGGGACCUUCGGGCCUCUUGCCAUCGGAUGUGCCCAGAUGGGAUUAGCUUGUUGGUGGGGUAACGGCUCACCAAGGCGACGAUCCCUAGCUGGUCUGAGAGGAUGACCAGCCACACUGGAACUGAGACACGGUCCAGACUCCUACGGGAGGCAGCAGUGGGGAAUAUUGCACAAUGGGCGCAAGCCUGAUGCAGCCAUGCCGCGUGUAUGAAGAAGGCCUUCGGGUUGUAAAGUACUUUCAGCGGGGAGGAAGGGAGUAAAGUUAAUACCUUUGCUCAUUGACGUUACCCGCAGAAGAAGCACCGGCUAACUCCGUGCCAGCAGCCGCGGUAAUACGGAGGGUGCAAGCGUUAAUCGGAAUUACUGGGCGUAAAGCGCACGCAGGCGGUUUGUUAAGUCAGAUGUGAAAUCCCCGGGCUCAACCUGGGAACUGCAUCUGAUACUGGCAAGCUUGAGUCUCGUAGAGGGGGGUAGAAUUCCAGGUGUAGCGGUGAAAUGCGUAGAGAUCUGGAGGAAUACCGGUGGCGAAGGCGGCCCCCUGGACGAAGACUGACGCUCAGGUGCGAAAGCGUGGGGAGCAAACAGGAUUAGAUACCCUGGUAGUCCACGCCGUAAACGAUGUCGACUUGGAGGUUGUGCCCUUGAGGCGUGGCUUCCGGAGCUAACGCGUUAAGUCGACCGCCUGGGGAGUACGGCCGCAAGGUUAAAACUCAAAUGAAUUGACGGGGGCCCGCACAAGCGGUGGAGCAUGUGGUUUAAUUCGAUGCAACGCGAAGAACCUUACCUGGUCUUGACAUCCACGGAAGUUUUCAGAGAUGAGAAUGUGCCUUCGGGAACCGUGAGACAGGUGCUGCAUGGCUGUCGUCAGCUCGUGUUGUGAAAUGUUGGGUUAAGUCCCGCAACGAGCGCAACCCUUAUCCUUUGUUGCCAGCGGUCCGGCCGGGAACUCAAAGGAGACUGCCAGUGAUAAACUGGAGGAAGGUGGGGAUGACGUCAAGUCAUCAUGGCCCCUUACGACCAGGGCUACACACGUGCUACAAUGGCGCAUACAAAGAGAAGCGACCUCGCGAGAGCAAGCGGACCUCAUAAAGUGCGUCGUAGUCCGGAUUGGAGUCUGCAACUCGACUCCAUGAAGUCGGAAUCGCUAGUAAUCGUGGAUCAGAAUGCCACGGUGAAUACGUUCCCGGGCCUUGUACACACCGCCCGUCACACCAUGGGAGUGGGUUGCAAAAGAAGUAGGUAGCUUAACCUUCGGGAGGGCGCUUACCACUUUGUGAUUCAUGACUGGGGUGAAGUCGAAACAAGGUAACCGUAGGGGAACCUGCGGUUG